rnacentral:misc_RNA from 1 species
UGCUAGAGAAAGUUCCAUUACCAAUUAUAAAAUAAAAACCACUUUAUAAUACAUAAUCUACCUUCAACAUUACACAAAAAUUGCAACACAUAUAGAAACAAGAAUAAAAUGGUUUCCAACUUAAUGGCAAACUGGUGUAGCAUGUCAAUUGAGUUAUAAACUAGGUGCUAAAAAAGGUUAUUGAUUGGAGUUCUUAGAUUCUGAUGUAAUUGCUUUUAACCACAAGGAGUUAGCUUCUUGUUACCAGCGCCACGAGGGUUGUCAUCUUUCCAGUCAUCCCAUGCUCGUGCCUUUUCUUGGGCGGCAUCAUCAUUAUCAUCUUCUUCGUCAUCUUCAUUUGGCCUUGUCUUGGGACCGUCAUUGUACCAUGAAGAAGUUGCUUCUUCCAUGAGCUUAACAUUCCUUUCUUGCCAUUCGUUCAUCAUAUUCAUCUCUGUUAGCCCAGCUUCUUCAAUGCUCAUCGUUGGUAAUCUAUAAUGAGGCUGAAAGACCUGGGCAGCUAUUCUUUGCCUUUCAGUUGUAGGGUUCAUACCAACAAGACUUGCUGGUCCAAAGAGUAAAGGCUGGUGUUUAUGGUCAUGCGCCUGUGAGACCUUGGCCCUCCCUUCUAUGACAUCUUGUGCAAAAGUGGCACAGGUGAUGGGGGCUGCGGGUUUUGUAUAUCGAGCUCGUGCAGCAGCAUCACGAUGCCAAGAUUCUACUUUUUGGGUGCGUUCGUCAAGUAUUAGCUGAGAAAAUUCUUUCUCCCCAUCCCGAAGCUGCUUCUCCCUGACAGCAGAUAGUAUUUCUUCCUCUUUCUUCAGCAUUUCAAGCAAAUCAAAGGCCUUACAAAGGGCCAGGGAAAUAGUUGUAAGCCAUGCCUCCCUUUCUUCUUCACCGUCAUCAUCAAACACGUCCUCUUCUCCAGCUGCAUUGUCAAGUCCUGUGGAAACUGGAGAAGAGGAC